GACGAACGCUGGCGGCGUGCUUAACACAUGCAAGUCGAACGGAAAGGCCUCUUUCGGGGGGUACUCGAGUGGCGAACGGGUGAGUAACACGUGAGUAACCUGCCCUUGACUUUGGGAUAACUUCAGGAAACUGGGGCUAAUACCGGAUAGGAGCUCCUGCUGCAUGGUGGGGGUUGGAAAGUUUCGGCGGUUGGGGAUGGACUCGCGGCUUAUCAGCUUGUUGGUGGGGUAGUGGCUUACCAAGGCUUUGACGGGUAGCCGGCUUGAGAGGGUGACCGGCCACAUUGGGACUGAGAUACGGCCCAGACUCCUACGGGAGGCAGCAGUGGGGAAUAUUGCACAAUGGGUGGAAGCCUGAUGCAGCAACGCCGUGUGCGGGAUGACGGCCUUCGGGUUGUAAACCGCUUUCGCUCAUGACGAAGCUUUGUGUGACGGUAGUGGGUAAAGAAGCACCGGCUAACUACGUG
rnacentral:rRNA from 1 species